rnacentral:rRNA from 1 species
CCUACGGGUGGCAGCAGUGGGGAAUAUUGCACAAUGGGGGAAACCCUGAUGCAGCGACGCCGCGUGAGUGAAGAAGUAAUUCGUUAUGUAAAGCUCUAUUAGCAGGGAAGAAAAUGACGGUACCUGAGUAAGAAGCCCCGGCCAACUACGUGCCAGAAGCCGCGGUAAUAAGUAGGGGGCCAGCGUUAUCCGGAUUGACUGGGUGUAAAGGGAGCGUAGACGGAAGGGGAAGUCCGGAGUGAAAGGCGGGGGCUCAACCCCCGGAGUGCUCUGGAAAUUGUACGGCUGGAGUGCAGGAGAGGUAAGUGGAAUUCCUGGUGUAGCGGUGAAAUGCGUAGAUAUUAGGAGGAACACCAGUGGCGAAGGCGGCUUACUGGACUGUAACUGACGUUGAGGCUCGAAAGCGUGGGGAGCAAACAGGAUUAGAUACCCUUGUAGUC